ACACAGGUGGUGCAGUGGCUGUCGUUCAGCUCGUGGUUGUGAAAUGUUUGGGGUUAAGUCCCGCAACGAGCGCAACCCUCAUGGUUCUGUUACCAGCGGGUAAUGCCGGGGACUCGGAACAAACUGCCUCUGUAAGGAGGAGGAAGGUGGGGAUGACGUCAAGUCCUCAUGGCCCUUACGGGUUGGGCUACACACGUGCUACAAUGGUGGUGGCAAUGGGGAGCGA
rnacentral:rRNA from 1 species